rnacentral:tRNA from 1 species
GCCUGGGUGACUCAGUCGGUUGAGCGUCCGACUUCGGCUCGGGUCAUGAUCUCACGGUUUGUGAGUUCGAGCCCCACGUCAGGCU